rnacentral:rRNA from 1 species
CCUACGGGUGGCUGCAGUGGGGAAUCUUGCGCAAUGGGCGAAAGCCUGACGCAGCCAUGCCGCGUGAGUGAUGAAGGCCUUAGGGUUGUAAAACUCUUUCAGCGGGGACGAUAAUGACGGUACCCGCAGAAGAAGCCCCGGCUAACUUCGUGCCAGCAGCCGCGGUAAUACGAAGGGGGCUAGCGUUGCUCGGAUUUACUGGGCGUAAAGGGAGCGUAGGCGGACAGUUUAGUCAGAGGUGAAAUCCCGGGGCUCAACCUCGGAACUGCCUUUGA